AGCAAUGAUGGUUAUCCGCUGUAUCGGCGUC
rnacentral:sRNA from 1 species